UAUAUUGCACAAUGGGCGAAAGCCUGAGUCACCAACGCCGAGUGAGCGAAGAAGGCCCUUGGGUCGUAAAGCUCCGUCCCACGGGAUGAAAAAAACGACGAUACCCUUGGAGGAAGCCCCGGCUAACUAAGUUCCAGCCGCCGCGGUAUCACGAAGGGGGCAAGCGUUAUCCGGAAUUAUUGGGCGUAAAGAGUGCGAAGGUGGUUUUGUACGCGCGAGAUGAAAGGCAAUAGCUCAACUAUUGUAAGCCUUGCGAACUGUGAGACUUGAGUGAAGGAGAGGAAAGUGGAAUUCCUAGUGUAGCGGUGAAAUGCGUAGAUAUUAGGAGGAACACCAGUGGCGAAGGCGGCUUACUGGACUGUAACUGAAACUGAGGCUCGAAAGCGUGGGGAGCAAACAGG
rnacentral:rRNA from 1 species